CUAACUAAAUCUCUUAGAGGUCCUCGAAUUGAAUACGUUUGUAGCAAGCUUGAAGCAUGUGACAUAUAUGCUUCAUAUGACAUAUAUGCUUCAACUUGAGAGGGAGUGUUGAGAUACUAGCUAUAAAUAGAUCAGAUUUGUAGUGAUUAUGUGCAUAAUAAUUAUGACUGUAAUUAAGGGUUGUAAUCUUUAUUUCUUCCCUUUUAGUUUCUUGUACACAAGUAUAUAUACCCCAAUC
rnacentral:misc_RNA from 1 species